UACGGGAGGCAGCAGUGGGGAAUAUUGCACAAUGGGCGCAAGCCUGAUGCAGCCAUGCCGCGUGUAUGAAGAAGGCCUUCGGGUUGUAAAGUACUUUCAGUCGUGAGGAAGGUGUUAAGGUUAAUAACCUUAGCAAUUGACGUUAGCGACAGAAGAAGCACCGGCUAACUCCGUGCCAGCAGCCGCGGUAAUACGGAGGGUGCGAGCGUUAAUCGGAAUUACUGGGCGUAAAGGGCACGCAGGCGGUUAAUUAAGUUGGAUGUGAAAUCCCCGGGCUUAAUCUGGGAAUGGCAUUCAAGACUGGUUAGCUAGAGUCUUGUAGGAGGGGGUAGAAUUCCAUGUGUAGCGGUGAAAUGCGUAGAGAUGUGGAGGAAUACCGGUGGCGAAGGCGGCCCCUGGGACAAAGACUGACGCUCAUGUGCGAAAGCGUGGGGAGCAAACAGGAUUAGGAUACC
rnacentral:rRNA from 1 species